UGAGGAAUAUUGGACAAUGGGUGGAAGCCUGAUCCAGCCAUCCCGCGUGAAGGACGACGGCCCUAUGGGUUGUAAACUUCUUUUGUACAGGGAUAAACCUCCCCUCGUGAGGGGAGCUGAAGGUACUGUACGAAUAAGCACCGGCUAACUCCGUGCCAGCAGCCGCGGUAAUACGGAGGGUGCAAGCGUUAUCCGGAUUUAUUGGGUUUAAAGGGUCCGUAGGCGGGCCCGUAAGUCAGUGGUGAAAUCUCGCAGCUUAACUGCGAAACUGCCAUUGAUACUGCGGGUCUUGAGUGAAUUUGAAGUGGCUGGAAUAAGUAGUGUAGCGGUGAAAUGCAUAGAUAUUACUUAGAACACCGAUUGCGAAGGCAGGUCACUAAGAUUCAACUGACGCUGAGGG
rnacentral:rRNA from 1 species